GACGGGGGGGGCAAGUGGUUCUUCGGAAUGACUGGGCGUAAAGGGCACGUAGGCGGUGAAUCGGGUUGAAAGUGAAAGUCGCCAAAAAGUGGCGGAAUGCUCUCGAAACCAAUUCACUUGAGUGAAGACAGAGGAGAGUGGAAAUUUCGUGUGUAGGGGUGAAAUCCGUAGAUCGUACGAAAGGAACGCCAAAAGCGAAGGCAAGCUCUCA
rnacentral:rRNA from 1 species